rnacentral:rRNA from 1 species
GGGGAAUCUUGCGCAAUGGGCGAAAGCCUGACGCAGCAACGCCGCGUGCGGGAUGAAGGCCCUCGGGUUGUAAACCGCUUUCAGCAGGGACGAAGAUGACGGUACCUGCAGAAGAAGCCCCGGCCAACUACGUGCCAGCAGCCGCGGUAACACGUAGGGGGCGAGCGUUGUCCGGAUUUAUUGGGCGUAAAGAGCUCGUAGGCGGUUCCGUCAGUCGGGUGUGAAAACUCUGGGCUCAACCCAGAGACGCCACCCGAUACUGCGGUGACUAGAGUCCGGUAGGGGAGUGCGGAAUUCCUGGUGUAGCGGUGAAAUGCGCAGAUAUCAGGAGGAACACCAACGGCGAAGGCAGCACUCUGGGCCGGUACUGACGCUGAGGAGCGAAAGCGUGGGGAGCGAAC